UGCGGGGUAGAGCAGCAUGGUAGCUCGUCAGCCUCAUAAGCUGAAGGUCGCUGGUUCAAGUCCAGCCCCCACAACCA
rnacentral:tRNA from 1 species